AUCGUAUAUUUGAUAUAUUUAAGUAAACAUAUAUAUAUAUAUAUGUAUAUAGUAUACAUAAGUAUGUUGCAUUACAUAUAUAAUAUAUGAUACUUAAAAUUUAAAAGCUCUUCUAAUUUAGAUUUUUAAUUCAAAUUUUUGCAUUCAAUUAAUAUAUUUAAUAUACUUUAAUUAUUUUUCUUUUGUUAGAAGAAAAUAAUUAUUAUUUUCACUCUCGAGUUGAAAAAAUGAAGCUCUCAGUCGAUUAAAGCCGAUAUUCUUUACCACGUAGUCGGUAUUAAAAAUAAAAUACAUUUUGAAAAAUAUUUUUUAACUGUUCAUUGUCGAUAUAUUUUACAUUGUGUUCGAUGCACUUUUCCUGUAUAAAUUACAUUAUACUUUGGUUUUCUAUGAUGGCUCAUUUUUUCCUAAAAUUGUGAGAUGCGGCAAAAUCCAUCAAGAUAAAAAAUUGGCUGAAAAUGAAGGUGCAGCGAUAGAAAGGUGACCGCGAAGUCAAUUCUAAAGAUAAUUAAAAGUAAAUGCCCAUGGGAUCGAUACAUAGAAACAUGCUUUAACGAAUUGCAAGUUCAAAGAGACAAUUAAAAACAGGAGAAUCAAAAACGAGCUAUAAUAUAGACACGUAUAUAAUAUAUAUAUAUAUAUAUAUAUAUAAUAUGUACAUGUGUAGUUGAACGACAGUUCAGAAAAUAAAGGACCGUGCGUUCGGUUUGCGCCGACGCGGACAAAAUAGAGGCAGAAAAGGUGAGCGAAAAAAGGGAGAAAAAUGAGAAGAUGAACGGAAUAGAGAAUCGGUGGAAUACAGUGGAGAGAGGGUGGAAAAGCGAAAAUAUGGCUAACGUGUUCAAAGGAAAGGUGGAGGAGCGGGCGGAGGGUGAACGAGCAAAGGAAAAUGGAGGAAGGGGAAAACACAGGGAGAGAAAAGUAUGCGAAAACAGGGAAUAGAGAGGAAAACAGAGAAUUAGACGUUACGUGUGCAAGGAUCAAAGUUAAAAAGAUGAAAAAAGAAAAUGGCAAAAAGGGAAUGAAAUAGAGAGCGUCGGGAGGAAAAAAGGAGAAAGGAAAGGGACGUUCACGAGUUAGGAACAGAGAACGAAGGAGAAUAGUUCACUGAGAACACAACGGAAGGCGAAAGAAGAGACAAAGAAAGAAAAAGGAGAAGAGUACGAGAGAAAGAGAGAGAGAGAGAGAGAGAGAGAGAGAGAGAUUCUCCUCUUGCCGCCACAGAGCAAGAGAGAGAGAGCUGUACGUGACGCUUCCGCCCAUGAGGGCUCUUGGCAAAACACGCGAGCGAGGAAAAAAGAAAAUGGGGAAGAGAGAAAGGGGAACCGAAGGCGGAGAAUGACGAUGGCGAAGAGGGUUGGAGGGAAGAAAACUAGAAGCGGGAACGGUGUUGAGGAUCGAGAGAUCGAAUCGGUGUUUCCUUGGGAGAUCGGCUUCCACGGGAUGUGACCUCUCUUCGACUCGUUCGAGAAUUCUUUCCGACGCUCCUCCAAGAUUUUUUUCCCAUAUUCGUUCCUUUUUCUUCUCGGAAUACGCUUCGACCUCCGUUUUUCCGUUAGAUCGCGCAUCGCUUCAUCGAAUUCCUCCUUCUUGCCUCGUGUUUUUCAGUAAAAUGACUUUAGAGUAAAACGUAGAACAGAACUAAACGGGAAUAAGAAUCGAAUGUUAUUUGCUUUUGCUGCAUGGGCCAGAAAGUUCAACGUUCGUUUAUUUCAGAUAAAAUACGAAGACAGACCCUGGCAAACUAUGGCAAGUCCAUUUUUCUUGAUUUCCUGAUUUCUGUGUUGUUUCAUGUAAGCUGGAACGAAGAGAACGUCGAUUAUUCGACGUGACGCGGACCGGCUCUACCACGGAUAAUCGAAAAUUCGGAUAAUAUGCAAAGGUCUGAUUAAGGUUUAUUAAUCGUCUGGUAAAAUCGUAAGGAAAAUUUUAAUAACGCAAUGUCGUACGUGCAUUUAGGUUUCAUUCGCUAUUUAAUCGGUUGAAAGUUUGAUUAACUGCUUGCACAAUACUCUUCGUAUUAAAAUUUCGAAAAAAUUAAGUUACGGUGAAGUUUAAAGCACCUCGGAUAAUACGGAACUUCGGUCGAACGGGACUCGAAAAACCGAGACUCCAUCGUAUUUUAAUAUGAAAUGGUUAACCGAUAUUGCUAUUGCCAGAUAUCCUUUUUAUCCGUUAAAAUAGGAGCGAACAAAAAGAAGACGAGAAAAAAUUCAAAAUCGUCCAGAGAUUUAUUAUUUUUUACUUAUCUUUCUAUAACGAAACGCAAUCUGCAUUUCACUCGAAUCUGUUCUACUCCUCGUUUCAAUGUAUUGACAUUGUUUGGUGCAAACUUGACAAUCUAAUGCUAUAUGUAACUAAUGCGCAAUUUGGAAUUACCGUGUUCCUCUUUGUGCAGAAUGUACUUUGAUUGGACAAUAUUUUGUGUUGAUCAAUGGGAACCAAAAUAUCGAUAAUACACUGAUUAUACCUUUGGCAAUGGUACGUGCGGCACUUUAACACUUAAGGGAACGUUUAAAUUGAACAAAAGUGCCUAUUAUUAUCGAAAAGUCAGAGAGAUAUGGAGAGAGAGAGAGAGAGAGAGUUAAGCGGCACGUGCUUGCUAAUUUGUUCCCCGCACGUGUCACCGAUAAAACCGCGUCAAAAUAUUGCUGGCAAUUUGAAUAGGCCAAUUAUGAAGAUAGAGCCGAAAAUACGCCCAUCUUUUUAAAAGGAGAAAGAUUAUUCGCACAGACAUCGCUUUAGUUUUAAUUCACAGUAUUACGCAGCUGCGUUAUAAAUAAAAAAGGUACAUGAGACAAGAAAAAGGAAGAGAAGAAGUAAAAAUGAAAAAACAAGCUCGGUGAACAAGCAAAAAAAGUACUUAGGUUACGGAUCACUUCAAGUGCAAAUGAGUCGCUCCAUCGAACGAAGCAAAGAGCGAAAGUUUAUACACGAUGUUUGAGCGCCUUUGACGAACAUUCGUCUAAACGGAGACGACACGUACGAUCCCAGAAGAGGUACUGCGUGUAGAUCAAAGCCAGUGAAUUUUCGAUGCACCGACCGAGGGUGCAGGGACAUUCUGAAAAGGGGGUGCACACCAUAUCGACAGGGCGUGGUCGAAAUCUGUCACACUAGCCGCGAACAAACCUGAUGCCUUGUCAGCAAUAGCAUAGAAUUUCUUCCGAUUACUACGCUUUUCUCGCAGUGUACAUUCGAAAUUUCUCGAGCGAUCGUCGAAUACAGUGUAACGAGAGGUAAUCACGCCUUAAGAUAUAAUAAUAAUCCACGAAAACUGUUUUAUUUCUAUUUCAUUAAGAGAAACUUCUAACGAGGCUUCUAGUAAUUAAUUUUAGAAGAGAUUAUGCUAUCGUAGCAGUGGUAGUUUAUUCGUUUCAACUUAUUAUUAGCCCAGAAAGUGGACUUGUUUACGUAAGUUACAAUAUAUUACAUCAUCUUAUACGUUAUCCUUAUCCCGUAUUGUCGCCGAAUCUGCCUUGCAUGAUCAUCUCUUUGGCCUCUAUUCUAGAACCAUCGAGAUUAUUCUAUUGUUUAAUCAAAUACGUUACAAAUGUUAGUAUUUAAAUAUCAAGCAGCUCUGAUCCAGCGAUGAACAUAUUUUCGAUGCGAUAAACGACAUAGACUUUUAAAACGAACAUAUUUACGAACUCGUGUUUAUGCGUCAUAUGAGAAAAUGAGUGGGUGGUUCUCCCAUAUGGGCAACGGAUGAUUAUCGCUUGAAUCGAGACACAAUUUUUAUCAACGAUCGAUGAUACAUUAUAACGUCAAAAGAAUGUCGUAUUCUUGAACUGUGACAUUUUUUACUCUCUUUUUUUAAUUCCAGUUCUUCUUUCAUUUAAGGUACGAUAGAAUUCCAGUUUUGGAAUGUUACGCGUUUCUCUUUAAUGCGAGCACUCAUACUAAUUAAUAAUUAAUAUAUCAUAGCAUUGCGUUAAACUAGCUCGUAAAAUAUGAACACCCACUAAAAUCGCAUAAAUAUGUGGACGUUUCAGUUUGGAUUAUUAGUCUUUCUUUUUUUUUUUUAGUCAAAAACAAGUAAGUGGUCAUGUAUUUUUAAGCAUAACACGAUGGUCUACGUAGAAAUAGUUGGUAUACUAUUUAUGAAAUUGUACUCGAAUUCCAGGUGGACUUCCAUGUAACUUCAAACCACUGUUUGUACAUAGUCGCCGUUUCACCGAUUUAAUUUGCAAGGGGUAGACCGCUUAGAUUAGAUCAGAUCUUACGGAUUGGAAAGCCGACUUUACGGUCUACAUGGACCAUAUGCAGUUUGUGCUUCAUAAGGGUGAUCCGACUACCCUACUUAAUCGAUAAGAUGAGAAAGCAGCGAUAAACUCGCUUGUCUUUCCAUGAUACUGUUCUGCAAGGGAAUUAUCAUUUUCUAUCGAAUAUUAUAGGAAAUAAGAAACCAGUGGUGCUAUGUGAGUCAUAAAAAAAUAUCUAUCACCGUUUAAUCAGUUAUAAUAUCCAAAUAACAAGAUUAGAAAAGAGAAUUUUCUUUAAAUAGAAUUAACCGACACGGGUAAAUCACACUCUUGUGUGAAAAACAAAAAAUACGUUUUUCUCUUACGUUCUUCGUGCUAUACGCGUGGUUAUUUUACUCGUUCGGCAGAAACGAAAAAUGUGAAAUAUCGUCAACAUAAGAGCGGAAGACAGCGUUUAUUGAAACAAACUUUGUUCGACUCAUGGGAACGUUAACGGAGAUCAUAAGCGUGGCAAGCAGGUCUGAAUGAAUAAUUAUCGAUAGAAUAAGCGAAACCUCAAUGGGGACAAUUCUGGUCUCGAAUUGGCCGACUUUUCACUCUGUCCACCCGUAAGUUUUACGGCUAUUGUCGACGAAAUUGCAGCCUUGAAAAACGGCGACACGCGCGAUGGGCGUUCUGUUUUCAAAGUGCGAUUCAAAGAGACGAAAUUGCCGGCCUUCAGCGUGAUACUUCAUCUUUUGUACGACGUUGACAAAACGUACGCUUUUAUCGACGUUGCACAUUUCAGACAUUCGAUGCAUGUCGACGAGUUUUCCGGAAAAUUUUGCAUCGUCGAACGGAAUUGUAGGCGGUAAAACAAAGCAUGGGGAGUUGCGGCUAAAAUAUUCAAUAUAACUAUGUAACUGAAUUAUGUUACGCUGAUGCGAUACACGGUUAGUGUACACAGCAGCUCUAUUAAAUAGAACGAAACAUUAUUGUACCGUGAAUACAUAGGAAUGCUUUUUUCCUCCCGCGAUAAUUUUCUGUCGUUAGAUAUUUAUUUUAAUCGAUAUACCCCGACCGUGACGAAUCGACUCGUUUUAUGCGCAAAUUAUUGAAAAAAAUGGAUACCGUUCGAAAAUCAUGCGAGAGAAACAUAGCAAGUCUAUAUUUGUUAGUAAUUCUCCGACUUUUCCAGUAUCCGCGUUACGCUUAUUAAGGUUGGGGAAAGUUUCUUAAUACAUUAAAACAUUUGCCACGGUUAGUAGAAAUAAAAAUAUUAUUUAUUUAGCGCAUACAGGUACAGCGUCAAUGAAAUUUCACCAUGUUUUAUAUAACACGAUAUACGCGGUAAAUGUUUUCUACAACCAGUGCGUUCAAGUACUUUGGCGUGGUACUGUACGUUUACCGAAACUUCCAUUCAAAAUUAUAAUUACAUUAUCGACGAAGCAUAACUUUUCAGAUAAACAGAUAUUUGCCUGUAUCUCUCGCCUCUCUUUUUUGGAAGACAGCAAGGUGAUCGUGAAAGGAAGGAUGACCUAAAUAUGGGCAACACGAGUAACGAACUGAUUCUUGCUAUCGCGACGAAAACGAUGACCAACUUUUUUCCGCGAGUUCGAGCAACUUUGAAGACGCUGAAGCUCUCGAAACUUUACGUUCCUCCUUUAUAGCAACCCUCCUCAUACUCUCUGGUUACAUGCUUCUUCGAACUCACCCUUGGGCGAGAGAAUCCUGGCGCCUCGUUUCGAAGGAGGGUCGAACGAAGAGGGCGUCAUGGAGACGAGUCUAAGGGUUCCGCGAGGAUUCGUCGAAAAAGG